GUCGAUAUGUCCGAGUGGUUAAGGAGACAAACAUGAAAGUUUUUGGUCUUUGUCGGUGUAGGUUCAAAUUCUGCUGUCGACA
rnacentral:tRNA from 1 species